rnacentral:lncRNA from 1 species
GAACUUGAUAUACCAAAUGUUUCAUCAUCUCCUCCUUCUCUGUAUAAGUAUAGAACUUAUAACGCUACCUCUCUCAGAGUAAUCUUAACCAAAAGAAUAAGCAAGCAAAGGGAUGAAUCGUCAGGUUUUAUCAAUAGUGGCUUUGAUUCUUCUCUUACUCUCAGCGUUCAACAGCACAACGAUGGCCCGAACCUUGCCGAGUAAGUGUCUGCUUUGAUUCCUCUCUUAAACAGAUAUCAUAUUCAAUUAUGUAUCUCAUUUUGUUUUUGUUAUGUUUUUGGGUUUGUUUUACAAUUAUCAAGAGGAACGAAUAUCUGCAAGUAUAAAAGUGGGGGUCUCAGAGCAUCUCCAAAAAGUAAUUCUAUUUUGAAGUUUCCAAAACUUUAUAUUUGAAGUUUCAAUGUGUUCUUCUCCAAAAGUAAAACUUCAAAUCUAACUUCAAAAUUAUUUAUAUUUUACACUAUGAUCCUUAUAUUUGUCAUAGUUGAUGUAAAUUUAUAAAACUUCUAUAAAUAACAAAUACAUAUAUAUAAAUAUUACAGAAAUAUUAAUUAAAAAAAAUCUUACACUAAAAUAUAAAAUUAUAAAUAAAAGUACAUAAUUAAAUAUUAAACUGCAAGCAAAUAUUACAUUAUUGCAUAAAAUUAUUUCCAUAAUGCUCCCAUAUAUGAUCAACUAGUGCAUUUCGAAGUAAGAAAUGAUUCUCUUUAUUUUUUAUUUGUAGAUUACGAGCCAAAAAUUGUUGAAACCGGAUAUCCUCAUAAUAUGUCUGCUGAUAGUUUGAUAUCAUCAAACGAAAAAAUCCUUGAUCUUUUAAACGAAAGUACAACAAGCAGGGAAAAAGGUCAUGAGAUGAUUGAAUUACGACUGCAAAAUGAAGCAAAAAAGUUAGCUUUUAAAGAAAUAAAAGAGGAAAAUAAAAUAUUGCUAAAAAACUUAGCUUCUAUCGAUGAUGUUAAUAUUCGUGAAUACAUUCGAUCUGAACAAGAAAGAAUCAUAUGAAAAAUGCGUCAAGAGCAACAACAACAAUCAUUUUCGGUUACACAAAAUUUGUUGAACAAUAUUUUGGAGAUUUUGGAGGUUCCGGAGCAAAUUUACCAGACUAUUAGUGUUGUUAUAAUAUUUAAAUUUGAGUAAUAAUUAUAUCUUCAUGUGUCUUUUUAAUAAGUUUUUAUUAUGGUUUUUUGUAAUAUUCUUGUUGUUUAAUUCUAGUUUUAAAAUAUUAUAAAUCUUGUUUUAAUUUUUUUUAUUUAAUUUCAUGUGUAAAACUUAAGUUUAUAUAACAAAUUUGAAAUAUUUAUGAGAUAUAAAAGUUUUAAGGAUUAAAAUAAUAAACAAAAAAAAUAUUUAAGAAUUUAUAAAUAUGAUGUAUAAUUGUAAGGACCAAAAUGCAAAUAAAAAGAUGAAACUUCAAAUUUGAAGUUUUGAAAAGUGAAACUCUAUAUUUGGAGUUUCACUCUUCAAAACUUCAAAUUUGAAGUUUUGAAGUUCCUUUUUAGAGAGCAAAAAAUUCUAUAUUUGGAGUUAUAGAGUUUCUUUUGGAGAUGCUCUCAGGGAGUGUAUCGGGCCAAGCUCGUAAAAAGGGACCUGGAGCUCCUGGAAAACAAAAUCGUUGAUCUCCUUAA